GGGGAAUAUUGCACAAUUGGCGAAAGCCUGAUGCAGCAACGCCGCGUGAGUGAUGACGGUCUUCGGAUUGUAAAGCUCUGUCUUUUGGGACGAUAAUGACGGUACCAAAGGAGGAAGCCACGGCUAACUACGUGCCAGCAGCCGCGGUAAUACGUAGGUGGCAAGCGUUGCCCGGAUUUACUGGGCGUAAAGGAUGUGUAGGCGGAUACUUAAGUGAGAUGUGAAAGCCCCGGGCUCAACCUGGGGACUGCAUUUCAAACUGGGUAUCUAGAGUGCAGGAGAGGAAAGCGGAAUUCCUAGUGUAGCGGUGAAAUGCGUAGAGAUUAGGAAGAACAUCAGUGGCGAAGGCGGCUUUCUGGACUGAAACUGACGCUGAGGCACGAAAGCGUGGGGAGCGAAC
rnacentral:rRNA from 1 species